CUCUCUUAAACCUCAAAAACCCUAAACCCAGUCCAUCUUGGUGGUUUUGGCUCAUUUUGGUGGUUUUGGUGCUCUUUGAAGGAAGUAGAAGGAAAUUUGGUAUAAGGAUCAAGCAAACAACACCUUCUCAUCUUGGAUAUCACCUUCUAGACCAUUUGUAAGGAUUCGAGAUUCUACCUUUAUUGUUUAUUCUUUUAGAUCUAAGUUGUUCUAGUCCUUUUUUAUUCAUGGUUUUGAUUUGAGUGAUAGGAUGGAAUAAAGUGUUGGAUUUUGAGCAUUCUAACACUCGUAAGGUGUUCAUGCAACCCUAAAUACCUUGGAUCUAUGUUUUCACUAAUUAUACAUGCAAAGGUGUUUCCAAGGUAUUAAGCCUAUAACUAGCAUACAAAGAUGUAAACUACACAAGAUACUAGUUAAUGUAACAUACCUUUUCAUAUGGCUGGAAGUCUUGAUGCAUUUGGCCUUAAGAGCUUACCCCAAUAGUGUGGAAGCCUCAAGUGCAAUCACAACACAUCAAGGAAAAAGGUAGGACUUGAGAGAGAAUCUCCAUGCACUCUAAAACCUUCAUGAACUCCAAGAACAUGCACCCACACACUAGGGUUGGCGGUUUUUAGGUCAUCAUAUAUGUAUUUAUAUGUGUUGAAUUCUAAGAGUCAUGGAUAAAACCCAAACCCAUACCCAUGGGUUUUAUGAUCCAUGGUUCAUGUGGCCCAACUCUUUAUGUAUCCAUACAUAAACUUGGUCCAACACGGAUCAUAAGCCCAACACAUAUAAAUAUAACUAAUUAACAUAAUUAGUCCCCAUAUAUUUAAUUAGUCUCUUUUUGAUCACUAUUCAAUUCCAAAUUAAUUCUUGAUCAAUACUAAUUAAAACCAUAUGAUUUCAUAUUAAUAUAAUAGUACUUAUAAUGUAUUAAUAAAUCAUAUAUAACCUUCUCUCAAGAAUCCAUCCUAACAAAUUGUCCUGAUGAUAUGCAACCCAAAUGGACCAUGCUACUCUCGGGUCAAGUACAUACCAAUAAUAGUUAUGGGCUUAGAAAUCUAAUCCAACAGUUUCCCACUUGGAUAAGUCUACAACUAUUAUUGUAAGUACAACUUCAUAACCCGACUAGCAAUCGUAGCUCUUAAAGCCGCUGUCAAACUCUGAACAAAUCAAAUGACGCGUCCAUUAGAUAAGUGAUCAUAUAUUCCUCCAUUCUAGAUAUCAUAUGGACUGAGACAUGGAUUAUAAUCAUUCUCUCAGUCCAUUUGUUGUUUCCCGAUUUUCUAUUUAUGACAACUGACUAAUUGAACAAAUCAAAUCAGUCCAGGCUUGGCCAAGCACUUAGGGGUGUCAUCACUAAAUCAUCGAGGGGCCCACAGAUAUCACUUUUAUCCUUAUGAGGUAAAAGGAAUUGAUAAACUUCGACUCAUAUGCUUGUACUAACUACUUGUUGAAUCAUACACAAUGGCACGUUUUAUAACAUCAAGUUACUGAUGCGUUUUCAUACAAUCAAUGUAUAACCAACUCAUAGUCAACAACUCAUAUCUCUAGGCUUGAAGAAUAUAAGAUAUUAUCGUCUCAUGAUUCACUCGUGAUAAAAUCCAUGAAGCGAUUCAAAUGAGCGUGGGUUUAAUCCAAUACUCAGAACUUAUGAGCACUCAUGAAUGUUGUAGCAACCAUUGCUAUGUCUAAUGCACAGUAGACAAAUCUUACAAACCAGAUUCAUGACAGUCUUAAUUCAAUACCUACUUCCAACGUAUGACCGACUGUGGAGAGUUUGAAUAAAAUAAUUAUUUUGGAAGUCAAAACAUGCAAAGUGAAACACAAGAAUAAUACUAAUCCUAUAUGGCCCCAACACGUUGAGAGUAAAUAAAAAACAUCUUUUAUCUAAGCACCAUAUUGAUUACUCAUUAUUCAUGUAAUUUUUCGAAUUAUCAACUUAAUACUUGAAUUAAAACAAUAGUCAUGCCAUGCUCCAAGCAUGCACACUAUGUUUACCUAUGACCCUUUCUUCUGUGAAAUAGAUCAAUUGAACACGACUCCAAUGGUGCUUAUUUCACAAUCUCAAUCCAUUUUGUAAAUCUAAGAAUACCAAACUCUUUCCAUUUACUGUAAUCUGUUAGAUUCUAAACUUAUAUGCAAUGAUUUUCUUGUAAUGACUAUGCAUAAAAGUCACAAAGACUUGGCAACAGAAAUACAAAGUAUUCCAAUGGAGAUCAAUUCCAUGGAAACGAAGUCUCAUAUUCAAAGUACAUUCCUUUGAACAUCCUUCUUUGCAUUCUAAUCUUACAUAGAUUCAGAGAAUAACUUCCACCUGUGAAAACAAUUCCAUAUUACCAUUUUGACUAUCACUUCUGAACAAGAGUUACCUCUUUUCAAAAUAUGUCAAUAUGGUCUUUCCAAAUUUUACAUUAUACUUCCAAUUGUCCACGAGUGACCAAUCUUUGGUAAACCUCAGAUUGUCUUCGACAAUUGUUUAAUCAUUAUAGUUAUAUCCGGUUCUAUUCCUUUUUCCCUCUUAAUGCCCUAAGCAUUUGGAAAAUUUAGAAUGGAUGUAAUCGAUCCUAUACCCGAAGCAUAUGGGACACGAGUCGUGCUAUAAAAAUUUUAUUUGCCAUGUUCUCACAAUUCGAACUAUGAAGAGGGAUGUCGUAAUAUAAUUAUAUAUAUAUAUAUAUAUAUAUAUANNNNNNNNNNNNNNNNNNNNNNNNNNNNNNNNNUACCCGAAGCAUAUGGGACAAAAUUCAUGCUAUAAAAUUUUUAUUUGUCAUGUUCUCACAAUUCAAACUAUGAAAAGGGAUGUCGUAAUCAUAAUCGAAUUUUGAGAAUGCAAAAUAUAUAAAAUUUCCUUAUGUUGAACCAUUCCAAGAUAACAUACAUAUAUAUAUUUGACUAAAGUUGUUUAAAAUCUCAAUCUAAGCUUGUAUAAUUGGAAUGAAGUAUAAAAUCCUCUCCCUUAAUUAUAGCAAAACAACUUUUCAAAGCGAAUUGAAACUUUUGUUUUCUAUAAUUAACAUUGCUAACUUGCAACACGUAACAUAAUAAUCAUGUUCCCACUAACAUGAUAAUUAUAAUUUAACUAGCAACACACUUUAUGCUCCCACUAGCUUUGACAUGUACCCAAAAAUCAGCUGGACUUCUAGAAAUCAAUACUUUAUUGACUUUCUUACCAAAGUUCAGUUUUCUGAUACGAGAUGCUUUGAUAAGACUUUAUCAAAAUCAUACACCUUUCCUUAGAUAGCUCACAUGUGUGUCUAAACAAUUUUAGAACUAUGAAAAGGGAUGUCGUAAUCAUAGUCUAAAUUGUUUAAACCUUUUUCAUUUCUCACAAGUCUAUGUUAGUGGGUCGGUUAACCACACACGCUCCACUAAUGACUUUGAGAAUGCAAAUAUCAUAAUUGCUAUCUACUGAAAAUCUACUUAGUGAAAGAGGUUCCUCACCAUCAUUUUCAUGAAUUGGAGAGAAACCUUAUGACACUUAGAUUUUCUAUGGCGUAAGUGUUCCUAUCCAUGCGAAUUUUGUCAUAACCAUAAUCAUAAGACAAGGUUAGUGACAAAACCAAACUUAUAUGGACUGAACUUAUUUAAUCUUAAUUUCUUUACACCUGGCAGCACAUGGCCUACCAUUGCUUCGAGGUUGUUAUGCAAACAAUUGAGAACUCAUAUAACUCACAAGCAUAGUCAACUUUUAACUGGAAUAGACACAGAAAUAAGAAUAUGUCAACACGAUAGGUUACAAAACUCAAGUCGUGGCUAGUGAUUAACAAUACUCUUGAUUAGUUCUUGAAACUAUCUCAAGAUCUUUUAAGACUCCCACUAACCUCUUGACAUAUAAGAUUCUUUUGUCAAGAACCAUUCCUUGACAAAACAAAUUAUUCAAGAGUUAGUGCGGAUUCUUAUUAAGAUAAACACUUCUUACAAUUGGUCUUAGUUGGUUUUUGUCUUAUCCAAAACAUCACAACUUACUAAUCUCAAAUGUACAAGAGUAAGAAACAUGUUACUCUACAUUUGAUAAGUGUUAAAAACCUUUCUUAAAAUUAUGUCACACAAGUUACAAUCUUAGAGUAUGACUCUAAGACUUGUUUUGGAACGAAGUAUGAUAAGAUAAACACUUCUUACAAUUGGUCUUAGUUGGUUUUUGUCUUAUCCAAAACAUCACAACUUACUAAUCUCAAAUGUACAAGAGUAAGAAACAUGUUACUCUACAUUUGAUAAGUGUUAAAAACCUUUCUUAAAAUUAUGUCACACAAGUUACAAUCUUAGAGUAUGACUCUAAGACUUGUUUUGGAACGAAGUAUGAUUUAUCUUUUGAUAUGACCAUUUCCAUAGUUCAUGAUUCCUCUCCUUAGCCAAACAAAUGCAUUAAGGUGUCUUUAGAGGACCAAUUGUGAUACGGUUUUUAUAAUCACUAAGAUAAUCAUAAAAUAAGAUACUCAAGUACUCUCCCAUGUCUUCAAAUUGGAGAAACUUUUAUGUUUCUGCCUAAUUUGAUUCUUCUUAUUCAUUCUACCAAUCAUUGAAACCUUUCCAAUGUUUCAGAAUUACACUUAGACUUGUAAGCAUAACCAUAUUUACUAAACUUUAGUAAAUCAUAAUGAAUAACCUUAUUAGCCUUUGUGGUGGACCUGACCAGCGCACAACCUAGUGUACCCGAUCCUUCAGUCCUUCACUUGAAUCACAUGUAGAUAUGAACAAGGAAUUAGUCUUAAUUUACAAAAGAUGAAAAUUCUCAUUCAUCAUACAAUACAAGUGGCAUGAUUCCAAGUUUCUAUCCAGCUGAAACUUUGGUGAUGAGAAUCUUUCCUUAUUUGGUAAAUUAUGACACUACCACAAAUGAAAGAAUCAAAUCCAUUUUCCAAUGUUGCUAUCAACGAAAUCAUAUAAACGACAUUUUUUCACAAAUGCCAUUGGAAGGAUACUUAAAAUAAAUAAAAUCAAAACUUUUCUUUUAUUUUAAAACUUGCGGAAAAAACUUAUCCUUACAAUGCAAAUACAUAUGAGAACAUGUUGUUAUCUAUUCCUAAGCAAUAAUAUAUCAUAACCCUUAAGCAGCAGCUCAAAAUUCUGAUAAUCGAACCAUGCGAUCGAAAUCCAUCUAUUCGUGAUCAGAAUCAACUUACUCUUUCUCUAAGCUUCCUUACUUUUCUUUGAUUCUACAAAAUAUCAAAAUGUAAUUACAUUACAUCAUGUAUUAAGAAUCUCCAAAUAAGAACUUAAUAGAGUUAGAUAGUGGACUUUACCUGAAGUAGAGUCAAACCUUUUUUGACUUUACCAUCCUUAUGAUCUUUUAGAUAAAAUGGGCAGCUUUGCAACCAAUGUCCCUUCUCUUGGCAAUGGAAACAUAGGGACUCUUUGGCAAUGGGACUAUCUCAUACUUAGCUUUUCUCUUUACCAUUUGGUCAAUCGAGUUGACUAUGGACGAACCCUUUCCAUUGGGAAGAGAAAGCUUUUCUAGAUAUCCAAUGUUACCAUUGUCAAUGUCCAUGGAAGUUUGGGAAGUUGAUUUUCUAAUCAAAUUUUCUUUACCAGUGCUCCAAAUCAUUGCUGAUUCAGUAGCAUCAAGCAAAUAAGUAAGAUCAUUAAGGGUCAUGUCAUAGUCUGUUACAUAGUAGUCCUUAAAGAACUCACUAUGUGACUUAGAAAGUGAUUGAAGAACCCAGUCAACAGUCAACUUCCUUAAGACUUUGACACCCACUCUACCAGCUUGCCAAUAUGUGACUUAAUCUCCCAGAUGUAAGCACAUAUAGAGUUUGCUUGCCAAAUAGGGAUUGAGUGACCUUGAACUUGUGGGUCAGGGAGAAUUAUUGGAGGAGGUGGAGGAAGUGAAGUAUGAUGUCUAGUCCUAUUAAUGCACAACAAAGGGAUUGAUCUUUCACCUUGAUUGCCAUUUGGGAUAUCAUCUUCUUUAGGAAAGCUCUAUCCAAAAGGAUGAGGAAGACCAUAGUUGUCUGAACUUAGACAUCUAUUAGGGAGAAAUUCAAGUUUCAUUUGAUUUAAGUCCUUAACAUAACACCCAAUAUGAAAUAUUAAGGCUAGGACUCAACAAACUCUUUUAUAACUUGGAAGAGGGAUGUCGUAAUCCAAGCUACAAAAUAUUUGAAGGUAGGUAAAUGACGAUUUAGCAAUUUCCACCAUGAAAAACAAAAUAAAUUAUUAAGUUUUAAUUGGAUUGGAAACUCCUAGAUAUUUUGAGAUUCAUUGAACUUUCAAUGGCAUGUUUAAAUCUCGAUUGUGCCCUCUAAAGUUUGUGACUGGGAUGUCGAGGAUCACAAACAAGGUGUGAAUAACCAUGCAAAUUGACUUGGUACCCUUAAUUUUAUCACCCAAUCGAUGUGCCGGUUAACCACACGCGCUCCACCGAUCUAUGAUAAAACUUAAGUCACCCUUUGCCACACAUUGUCAGUCCCAUGUUAGUGUGUCGGUUAACCACACACGCUCCACUAACGACUUAACAAGAGUGCAAAGUGUAAUUUCAUGGGUUAGCACCAUUUCACAUAUUACUAACUAACUAGGAUUGGGAAUUUAUAAGAGUUUAGUUACUUAGUAUUUAUCAUUAUACUUUUAAUGAAAGGAGAAUUAGAGUCCUAUCCUACCCGUUCGACUAACGACCCUCCACCAGUCAAAGAAGCGGUGGGUGAGAGUAGACACCCAUUAAACUGCCAUUUUAUAGGCAUUAACCUUAUACCCCCCCUUAUGGACUGGCUUCGUGAAUGAGGCCUACUAACGGUAAAAUUGACUUUACUCUUAUACAUACAUACAUACNUUAAACUUUUAAAAUUCUAAGGUUUAAUUUGGAAUUAAAGUAUACAUGAGGAAGUAACUUUGCAAAUUCCAAAACUUGAAGGCAAGUUUUGAAACUUUUCAAAACUCUUAGAUUUUCAUAACUUAUGAGUUUAAUUAAGGUUUUAAAAAUCUUUAAUGAAGAGACUCUUGAACAUCCAUAACUUGAGGACAAGUUAUGGAGUUCAUAAAACUAUUUAUGGAGAAAAGACUCUUCAAGUUUCCUAACCUAUGGUUUUAAUAAUUUUUUUAAUGAGACUUUUCAUAUAACUUGAAGACAAGUUACAAAAACACAUAUUAUGAAUAACUUUUAGAUAAAUUUUGGAUUAAAAACAAUUAUCACAAACAUGUCUAGUAAUAUUCAUAAUCUUGAUUAAACUCAUAUGAACAAGACAAUUCAAAUCAAACAAUUUUCAUGUAAUUAGCCUAAUCAUUAAACUAAUACAAAACAUGAAACUUUUGACAAUUAUCUUUUGAAUUGGAUUAGAAUGAUCAUUACCACAUCAAAAACAAGUUUAUAGGUUCAAAAACAGCUUAUGGUAAUGUUCCGAGUCCAAUUCCAGCCAAAAAACUCGAAGGUAAGCUGUCAGGGACUUCAACUCGUCGAGUUCUAUAGAGAACUCGUCGAGUUCUAUAGAGAACUCGUCGAGUUCAUGCUACAAACCAUGAACUCGUCGUGUUUAUAGCAAAAACUCAUUGAGUUUUUAGUCUGGACAGAUUCGUGGCUUUGAAAAACAAGUUGCAUCAAGUAUAAUCGAAAACAACCCUAGGCUUUGAUACCACUGUUGGAUUUUGAGAAUUCUAACACUCCUAAGGUGUUCUUGUAACCCUAAAUACAUUGGAUCUAUGUUUUCACUAAUUAUACAUGCAAAGGUGUUUCCAAGGUAUUAAGCCUAUAACUAGCAUACAAAGAUGUAAACUACACAAGAUACUAGUUAGUGUAACAUACCUUU
rnacentral:lncRNA from 1 species